CUCAGGCCGGAGGGGACGCUUCUUCCAGGUUUGGGAAAGGGGCGGGGAGCUGAAGCGAUGAGGUAAUUUUAGCGGUGACCGGUCGGUCCUCGCGCGCCUCCCCGGGCCCCUGCACCUAGUUGGAGGGGACCGAGCGACCGCGGGGUGCAACUCGGGGCGCCCAGGAGGACUCUCCGAGGGGUGUCGGGCUUCAGCUCCGAGCCAGCGAAGUACCCCAGGGGGAGGAAUGGGGGGGGGGCGAGUCUGAUCCCGACGUGCCCUUCGUCCCAGGCGCGCCGGGAAUCGUCCAAGAGGACUAACUCGGAUCGCCGUGCACGUUAGCCCUCCAAGCCGGUUUCGUUCCGGAACCAGGACCACGGGGCUGCGGGGAUUGCCUCGGCGUGCAACUCAGGAAAGUCUGCAAAUCUGCCCUGGGUACUGGAGUACCCAGCUCCCGCCUUGGAAGACGACCCGCGCGCUCCACUCGCAGCUAAUUCGGGAUCAUUAAUUUAAUCGGAAAUGAGGUAACCAGCGCAGGAGAUACAGAAAGCAAACCGAGCAUCAAAUGGCAGUUCUGGUGAAUCCACGCUGAAGAACUUCCUCUGCGCUCAAUUUUCAAGCGCGGUUCUCAACUGCCCACCACCCCGCCCCCUCCGCGUGUACCACCGCUGGGUGCUAGCAUCCCGGGGAGGAAAUCUUAUGUGGAAGGGUGCGCCUUGCCAACAGGUGUGGCACCUGGAGGAAGAGAAGGCACAUCCAUGCGGAAGGGAGCUCGGUGCGGCGUUCUCCCUGCUGCAGAUAAUUCUGGAAGACCAGUAGGUGUCGGGGCAGCAUUUGACCUCUUUCAGGUGCUUAGAACCAAGUGUCUAGAAACACGAUCUUUCCACGUAAGUUUCUCUCUGCAAGCCACCACUAUUGACUGUGAGCUGUAUCUGAGAAACCUUUGGCUGAGUUUGCUUAUGACCUAACGGUUAGUCACCAACCGAAGCAGGGUACAGAAUCACCCAGAGAAAUGUGUCAGCUUUGAAACAACUGUAUCGUAGAGCCAACGUGCUCCAGAAAUAAAAAAUAAGCCUGCUAACAACUA